rnacentral:rRNA from 1 species
AGAGUUUGAUCAUGGCUCAGAUUGAACGCUGGCGGCAGGCCUAACACAUGCAAGUCGAGCGGUAACAGAGAUUAGCUUGCUAUUCUGCUGACGAGCGGCGGACGGGUGAGUAAUGCAUAGGAAGUUGCCCAGUAGAGGGGGAUACCAGUUGGAAACGACUGUUAAUACCGCAUAACCUCUUUGGAGCAAAGCAGGGGACCUUCGGGCCUUGCGCUACUGGAUACGCCUAUGUGGGAUUAGCUAGUUGGUGAGGUAAUGGCUCACCAAGGCGACGAUCCCUAGCUGGUCUGAGAGGAUGAUCAGCCACACUGGGACUGAGACACGGCCCAGACUCCUACGGGAGGCAGCAGUGGGGAAUAUUGCACAAUGGGCGAAAGCCUGAUGCAGCCAUGCCGCGUGUAUGAAGAAGGCCUUCGGGUUGUAAAGUACUUUCAGUUGUGAGGAAGGUUGUGUAGUUAAUAGCUGCAUAAUUUGACGUUAGCAACAGAAGAAGCACCGGCUAACUCCGUGCCAGCAGCCGCGGUAAUACGGAGGGUGCGAGCGUUAAUCGGAAUUACUGGGCGUAAAGCGCAUGCAGGUGGUUUGUUAAGUCAGAUGUGAAAGCCCGGGGCUCAACCUCGGAAGGUCAUUUGAAACUGGCAAACUAGAGUACUGUAGAGGGGGGUAGAAUUUCA